GAAAGUUUUUCGGUGUAGGAUGAGACUAUAUAGUAUCAGCUAGUUGGUAAGGUAAUGGCUUACCAAGGCUAUGACGCUUAACUGGUCUGAGAGGAUGAUCAGUCACACUGGAACUGAGACACGGUCCAGACUCCUACGGGAGGCAGCAGUAGGGAAUAUUGCGCAAUGGGGGAAACCCUGACGCAGCAACGCCGCGUGGAGGAUGACACUUUUCGGAGCGUAAACUCCUUUUCUUAGGGAAGAAUUCUGACGGUACCUAAGGAAUAAGCACCGGCUAACUCCGUGCCAGCAGCCGCGGUAAUACGGAGGGUGCAAGCGUUACUCGGAAUCACUGGGCGUAAAGGGCGCGUAGGCGGAUUAUCAAGUCUCUUGUGAAAUCUAAUGGCUUAACCAUUAAACUGCUUGGGAAACUGAUAGUCUAGAGUGAGGGAGAGGCAGAUGGAAUUGGUGGUGUAGGGGUAAAAUCCGUAGAUAUCACCAAGAAUACCCAUUGCGAAGGCGAUCUGCUGGAACUCAACUGACGCUAAGGCGCGAAAGCGUGGGGAGCAAACAGG
rnacentral:rRNA from 1 species